rnacentral:misc_RNA from 1 species
GUGAAUCAUCAAAUCUUUGAACGCAAAUUGCACUCCCUGGUAUUCCGGGGAGUAUGCCUGUUUGAGGGUCAGCCUAUAAAAAAUCGACAUCGUUGCUGUUUCACGGUGACGUUCGUCGGAAAUUGGGUCAUCUUAAAUCUUUUGGGUUUAAGCGACUUAAAAUUUUCUUUUUGAUUCCAUGAGCGUGUUUCUAAGAUUUAUUUCUUUACACGUUUAAGGUAUCGAUUUUUAUUAGACGUGGCCGUCAUAUCGGAUCGCGUCCAUAAUUUUUCGCUAACUUACCUCAGACAGGUAAGAGUA